rnacentral:rRNA from 1 species
ACUCAAAGGAAUUGACGGGGACCCGCACAAGCGGUGGAGCAUGUGGUUUAAUUCGAGGCUACGCGAAGAACCUUACCAACCCUUGACAUGUCCAGUAUGGUCGGCAGAGAUGCCUUCCUUCAGCUCGGCUGGCUGGAACACAGAUGCUGCAUGGCUGUCGUCAGCUCGUGUCGUGAGAUGUUGGGUUAAGUCCCGCAACGAGCGCAACCCUCGCCCUUAGUUGCCAUCAGGUUAUGCUGGGAACUCUAAGGGAACUGCCGGUGUCAAGCCGGAGGAAGGUGGGGAUGACGUCAAGUCAUCAUGGCUCUUACGGGUUGGGCUACACACGUGCUACAAUGGCGGUGACAAUGCGCAGCUACUUCGCAAGGAGAAGCUAAUCGCAAAAAGCCGUCUCAGUUCGGAUUGUCCUCUGCAACUCGAGGGCAUGAAGCCGGAAUCGCUAGUAAUCGCGUAUCAGCAUGACGCGGUGAAUACGUUCCCGGGUCUUGUACACACCGCCCGU